CAGCACCUCAAGUGGUCAGGAUGUUUAUUGGGCCUAAAGCAUCCGUAGCUUGCUAAGCAAGUCCCCUGUUAAAUCCACCGAUUCAAUCGAUGGUUUGCGGGGGAUACUGUUUGGCUAGGGGACGGGAGAGGUCGACGGUAUUUCCGGGGUAGGGGUGAAAUCCUAUAAUCCCGGGAGGACCACCAGUGGCGAAGGCUGUCGACUAGAACGCGCCCGACGGUGAGGGAUGAAAGCUGGGGGAGCGAACCGGAUUAGAUACCCGAGUAGUCC
rnacentral:rRNA from 1 species